AUGAAACUGCCCAGUAUCUAUUGCUUGAGAGCUUAGAUAGCUUUGGUGGUGGAGGCUGAGAACUGAGAAGCUUUGGAAGUUGAGACUUAAAGCUGAGGUAGCUUUGGAAGUUGAGACUUAAAGCUGAGGUAGCUUUGGAAGUUGAGACUUAAAGCUGAGGUAGCUUUGGAAGUUGAUACUUUAAGCCAUGGAAGUUAAGACCUAGAUUUGAGGAGGCUUUGGAAGUUGAGACCUAGAGUUGAGGAGGCUUUGGAAGUUGAGACCUAGAUUUGAGGCAGCUUUGGAAGUUGAGACCUAGAUUUGAGGCAGCUUUGGUGGUGGAAGCUGAGAUGCAAGGUAGCUUUGGAAGUUAAGACAUCCAGGUAGCUUUGGAAGUUAAGACAUCCAAGGUAGCUUUGGAAGUUAAGAUCUAGAGUUGAAGCAGCAUUGGUGGUGGAGGCUGUUCGAGUUCGAGUGUCUUAACAAACUUGUAUACUGUACAUAUGCCUAGAUUUAUUUAAUCUUUCUCUACAUAUAUUGAUGAAAUUUUGCCAGAAAUUUUGAUUUAAGAAUGAUAUUUUGCUAUAAUUGCCAGCAUUCAGCCUUAAUACACCUGAAAUGACUAGUAACCAAAAAUUACUGCUAUCAAUUAUACAAAAAAUGUGAUAUUUUGCAAAUUUUUUAUAAUUUCUGUUUGUACCAAUAUUACAUAGAGUAACGAACAAAUACAAUGUAUAGUGAUACUGCUGAUUUAGUACCUUGUACCCCAGGGGCCUGCAACAUUGUUACAACCUUGUACCCCAGGGGCCUGCAACAUUGUUACAACCUUGUACCCCAGGGGCCUGCAACAUUGUUUCUGGGAUCCCUCCAGAAACAUUGUUACAACCUUGUAUCACAGGGGCCUGCAACAUUGUUUCUGGGAUCCCUCCAGAAACAUUGUUACAACCUUGUAUCACAGGGGCCUGCAACAUUGUUUCUGGGAUUACUCAAGAAACAUUGUUACAACCUUGUAUCACAGUGACCUCCAACAUUGUUUCUGGGAUCCCUCCAGAAACAUUGUUUCAACCUUGUAUCACAGGGGCCUGCAACAUUGUUUCCUGGAUUACUCAAGAAACAUUGUUACAACCUUGUAUCACAGGGACCUCAACAUUGAUUCUGGGAUCCCUCCAGAAACAUUGUUUCAACCCUGUAUCACAGGGACCCUGCAACAUUGUUUCUUGGAUUCAUCCACAAACAUUGUUUCAACCUUGUAUCUAAGGGGCCUGCAACAUUGUUUCUGAGCUCCCUCCAGAAACUUUCUUACAACCUUGUACCCCAGGGGCCUGCAACAUUGUUUCUGGGAUCCCUCCAGAAACAUUGUUACAACCUUGUAUCACAGGGGCCUGCAACAUUGUUUCUGGGAUCCCUCCAGAAACAUUGUUACAACCUUGUAUCACAGGGGCCUGCAACAUUGUUUCUGGGAUUACUCAAGAAACAUUGUUACAACCUUGUAUCACAGUGACCUCCAACAUUGUUUCUGGGAUCCCUCCAGAAACAUUGUUUCAACCUUGUAUCACAGGGGCCUGCAACAUUGUUUCUUGGAUUACUCAAGAAACAUUGUUACAACCUUGUAUCACAGUGACCUCCAACAUUGUUUCUGGGAUCCCUCCAGAAACGUUGUUACAGGCCACUGUGCCUUGUACUGUAUAUUUAUAUUUUUCUUUAGAUUACUAUAGAAUUAUUUCUGUUUAUACAUGAUAACACAUUUAAAGAUUCAUUGCUGGUGUUUUGUUUGUUUAUUUAUAUAUGUAUGUUUAAAAAUUGAUAUGCUUCUUUGAAUAUACAUUACUUAUAUACUAAUACAAAAUAUUUUGAAAGCAUGUGUAACAUUGAAAAUUCAGACUAGCUACUGGUAAAAUUUUGGCAUUUAUAUAAAUAGAUCUUAUUACUGAUGGUAAUUUAACAUCAAUUUGGGUAGUAUCAUGGGAUAUGUCUUGUCGUCUGAAGUUUUGAAUUUUUCAGUAAUGUAGAAUUUCUACAAUUGUUAAACAAAAAAUUUGUGUAAAUAUUUCAGCAUCUUUUCACAACUUUUAUGAUAAAUUUAGAAAACCCACCAUGUCAAUGUACAAAUGUAGAUAUAGCAUUACUAGGAAUGAGGUAUGGUUAUCAUUACAUUCACAGGAAACCUUAUUGAUUAUAGUAUUAAGCUGUAAAUAAACCCAUUCUCAGUAAUACGUCACAGAAAGGUGCUGCUGUUUAUUAGAAAUACAGACAGUAGAUAGUCUGAAGUGAGGUGGUUUUACAGAGACACAUCAGGACGAGGUGGUUUUACAGAGACGCAUCAGGACGAAGUGGUUUUACAGAGACACAUUGGUACUGGGUAUAUAUUGAGUCCGAGUUUUUGUGUUGGUUCACUUGGGCUUAUCACAUGAUAAAUACAGGGAAUAAUGGACUAGUUAUGAGAUGGUUUAACAGGGUCACAUCAGUGGUGAGUAGAUUUUAAGUAAAGAUAUUUUGUGUCAGGCCACUUAGGCUUAUUACAUGAUAGAUACUGAGUAUGAUAAAGGCUAGGCUAUGAGGUGGUUUAACAGGGUCACAUCAGUGCUGAGUAGAUUUUGAGUUUGUUCACCAGGGCUUAAUACAAUAUGACAAUUAUGAUAAGGGUCUGGCUAAGAGGUGAUUUCACACAGACACAUCAGUGGUGUGUAGUUUUUGUGCCAUUGAACUCACAUUGUUGUAAUAAAUGUUUUAUUCUUUCUCACUAAAGUCAUUUGUCUCACAUAAAAUGUCACUUUCAAAUUUCAUUAUUUUGUUUUUUCCCUGUUUCUUUUUCAUAUUUCCAUCUCUUUUAAAAUUCUGUUUUGCGGUUAUGUGGAGUUGACAGUGGAAAACAAAAGACUAAUUGCAAAAUGUUUGAUCCUAGUAUAGUGUCACAGAAAUCAGUUUAGGCAAUGAUUUUCUUUAAAAUAUAUUUUAUAUCUGUAUGGUUUGUGUCGGAUUAAUGGACAGCUACAUCAGAUAUUGUCUGAAUCGUAUUAGUUGUUCAUAUGAAAAUUUAAAAUUGUAUUCCUUUUGGAAUUAGAAAAAUAAAUUAGAAUUUGUUAUCCAA